rnacentral:rRNA from 1 species
UUCCAGACUCCUACGGGAGGCAGCAGUGGGGAAUAUUGCACAAUGGGGGAAACCCUGAUGCAGCGACGCCGCGUGAGUGAAGAAGUAUUUCGGUAUGUAAAGCUCUCUCAGCAGGGAAGAAAAUGACGGUACCUGACUAAGAAGCCCCGGCUAACUACGUGCCAGCAGCCGCGGUAAUACGUAGGGGGCAAGCGUUAUCCGGAUUUACUGGGUGUAAAGGGAGCGUAGACGGCAUGGCAAGUCAGAUGUGAAAGCCCGGGGCUCAACCCCGGGACUGCAUUUGAAACUGUCAGGCUGGAGUGCAGGAGAGGUAAGUGGAAUUCCUAGUGUAGCGGUGAAAUGCGUAGAUAUUAGGAGGAACACCAGUGGGGAAGGCGGCUUACUGGACUGUAACUGACGUUGAGGCUCGAAGGCGUGGGGAGCAAACAGGAUUAGAUACCCCCGUAC